rnacentral:tRNA from 1 species
GGGCGCGUAGCUCAAUGGAUAGAGCCCCUGUCUCACUCACGGGGAGAUGCGGGUUCGAGUCCCGCCGCGCUCA